AACUAAAAAUUUAAUAAAAGUAUUAUAGUUUAAAAAAUUUUUUUAAAGUAAUAAAAAUAUUUUUUUUUGUUUUAGUAAUAAAAAUAAAAAUAAUAAAUUAUAUUUAUAAAGAAAAGUAAUGAAAUUGAAAAUUGAAAUAAUAUUGAAAAAUUUUUUUAAAAAAAAGAAUAAUUAAUUUUUUGUUCCUUGUGUAUCAGGAUUAAUUUAAUUUUAAAUUUAAAAUUUUAAUUAAUUUAUAAUUUAAAACAUUAAAAAAUUUUUUUGUUUUACUGUAUCAAAAGUAUUAUCUAAAAAUUUUUAAAAAUGAAAUGUUAAAUGUUUUUAAAGUUAUAUAAUUUUUAAAGAAAUAAAUUUAAUUUAGUUAUAAAUUUUUAUUAUUAAAAUAUAAUUUAUUUAUUUUAAUAAAUUUAGUUUAUAAUAAUAUUUUAAGGGUUGAGCUUUAAAAUAAAAAUUUAUAAAAAAAAAAUAAUUUUUAAAAAAAAAAUAAUCUUAAAAAUAGAUAAUUUUAAUUAAAAUGUUUUAAUUAAUUUUUUUUAAAAAAAAUUUAAUAUAUUUUUUUUAAUUAUUUUAUUUAAAAAAUUAUUUUAAUUAAAUAAAAUAAUGUUAUAAUUAUUAAAUUAGUAGUUUAAGUUAAUUUUAAAAAAUAAAAUAGUUUUUAUUUUUAAUAUUAUAAAUUCGGCAAUAUUAUUUUUAUUUGUUUAACAAAAACAUUGUUUUUUAAAUAUUUUUAAAAAAUAAAGCCUGCACACUGAAUAUUUUUAAAGAGCCGCGGUAAUUUGACCGUGCAAAGGUAGCAUAAUCAUUAGUUUUUUAAUUGAAGACUGGAAUGAAAGGUUUGAUAAAAAAUAAGCUUUAUUAUAUUAAUAAAAAAUGAAUUUAUUAUUUUAGUAAAAAAACUAAAAUAUUUAUAAAAGACGAUAAGACCCUAUAAAGCUUUAUAAAGUUAUUAUUUAUAAUUUUUUUAGAAUAUUUUAAAUUUUAAUGUAUAUUUUAUUUGAUUGGGGUGAUUUAAAGAUUAAAUUAACUCUUUUUAUAAGAAAUCAUUUUUAGAUGUUUUAUUAGUGAUCCUAAUUUUUUUGGAUUAAUAAAUUAAGUUACUUUAGGGAUAACAGCGUAAUUUUUUUGGAGAGUUCAAAUCGAUAAAAAAGUUUGCGACCUCGAUGUUGGAUUAAGAUACAAUUUAGGUGUAGAAGUUUAAAUUUUUAGUCUGUUCGACUAUUUAAUUUUACAUGAUCUGAGUUCAAACCGGUUUAAGCCAGGUUGGUUUCUAUCUUUAUAUUAUUAUUAUAUUUUAGUACGAAAGGACCAAAUAUAAAAUUAUUAAAAUUGAAAUUUAUGAAAUAAAUUAAUUUUAGAAAAAAAUUAUAUAUAAAAAUUAUUAGAUAAAAA
rnacentral:rRNA from 1 species